AGAGUUUGAUCCUGGCUCAGGAUAAACGCUGGCGGCGUGCCUAACACAUGCAAGUCGAACGCUCUUCGCGAGAAGAGAGUGGCGGACGGGUGAGGAACACGUGGGUGAUCUACCCUUAGGUGAGGAAUACCGGCGAGAAAUCGCCGACAAGACCGCAUAGCCUUCGCAAGAAGGAAAGUCGCAAGACGCCUGAGGAUGAGCCUGCGCCCGAUUAGCUAGUUGGUGGGGUAAAAGCUCACCAAGGCGACGAUCGGUAGCUGGUCUGAGAGGACGAUCAGCCACACUGGGAUUGAGAACGGCCCAGACUCCUACGGGGGGCAGCAGUGAGGAAUUUUCCGCAAUGGACGCAAGUCUGACGGAGCAACGCCGCGUGCAGGAAGACGGCCUUCGGGUUGUAAACUGCUUUUCUGUGGGAAGAGUAGGGACGGUACCACAGGAAGAAGCCCCGGCUAACUACGUGCCAGCAGCCGCGGUAAUACGUAGGAGACGAGCGUUGUCCGGAGUUACUGGGCGUAAAGGGUGCGCAGGCGGCCAGGCGCGUCGCUAGUGAAAUCUCCCGGCUCAACUGGGAGGGUGGUAGCGAGACGGCCUGGCUUGAGGCUCGGUGAGGGGCGUGGAAUUCCGGGUGGAGCGGUGAAAUGCGUAGAGAUCCGGAGGAACACCAACGGCGAAGGCAGCGCCCUAGACGAGACCUGACGCUCAGGCACGAAAGCUCGGGGAGCGAACAGGAUUAGAUACCCUGGUAGUCCGAGCCGUAAACGAUGUCCACCAGGUGUUGGGGGUAUCGACCCCUCCAGCGCCGCAGCCAACGUGAUGAGUGGACCGCCUGGGGAGUACGGCCGCAAGGUUAAAACUUAAAGGAAUUGACGG
rnacentral:rRNA from 1 species